CCUACGGGAGGCAGCAGUGAGGAAUAUUGGACAAUGGGCGCAAGCCUGAUCCAGCCAUGCCGCGUGCAGGAAGACGGUCCUAUGGAUUGUAAACUGCUUUUGUACGGGAAGAAACACUCCUACGUGUAGGAGCUUGACGGUACCGUAAGAAUAAGGAUCGGCUAACUCCGUGCCAGCAGCCGCGGUAAUACGGAGGAUCCAAGCGUUAUCCGGAAUUAUUGGGUUUAAAGGGUCCGUAGGCGGUUUAGUAAGUCAGUGGUGAAAGCCCAUCGCUCAACGAUGGAACGGCCAUUGAUACUGCUAGACUUGAAUUACUAGGAAGUAACUAGAAUAUGUAGUGUAGCGGUGAAAUGCUUAGAUAUUACAUGGAAUACCAAUUGCGAAGGCAGGUUACUACUAGUGGAUUGACGCUGAUGGACGAAAGCGUGGGGAGCGAACAGGAUUAGAUACCCUGGUAGUCCACGCCGUAAACGAUGGAUACUAGCUGUUCGGGGCAACCUGAGUGGCUAAGCGAAAGUGAUAAGUAUCCACCUGGGGAGUACGUUCGCAAGAAUGAAACUUAAAUUGAAUUGACGGNGNGNGAGNGCGAGACGACGACGAGGAGGAGG
rnacentral:rRNA from 1 species